rfam:Canis lupus familiaris chromosome 8, whole genome shotgun sequence.
UGGGGGAGGCCGGAUCCUGGGCUGUGUCCCGGCGCCCUGUUCUCCGGGGCCUGCGCUGGUGGAUUCACGCUCCCGCCCCGCAGCCCCCU